rnacentral:rRNA from 1 species
AGUUCACAUCGACGGGGAGGUUUGGCACCUCGAUGUCGGCUCAUCGCAUCCUGGGGCUGUAGUCGGUCCCAAGGGUUGGGCUGUUCGCCCAUUAAAGCGGUACGCGAGCUGGGUUCAGAACGUCGUGAGACAGUUCGGUCCCUAUCCGUCGUGGGCGUAGGAAAUUUGAGAGGAGCUGUCCUUAGUACGAGAGGACCGGGAUGGACAUACCUCUGGUGUACCAGUUGUCGUGCCAACGGCAUAGCUGGGUAGCUAUGUGUGGACGGGAUAAGUGCUGAAAGCAUCUAAGCAUGAAGCCCCCCUCAAGAUGAGAUUUCCCAACUUCGGUUAUAAGAUCCCUCAAAGAUGAUGAGGUUAAUAGGUUCGAGGUGGAAGCAUGGUGACAUGUGGAGCUGACGAAUACUAAUCGAUCGAAGACUUAAUCAAAA